UCCAGUGUGGCAUAGUGGUUUGGGUGUUGGACUAGGAUUCUGGAGACCAGGGUUGAAAUCCCUGUUCAGCCA